GCUUCCCUGGCCUCCCCGCCUCCAGAGGCAUCUGCCUCUCUGGGGAAGCUCUGGCUGGAGGAGAGAAGGAGAGGAAAUAGAGAACCCUCCAGAGCACGUGCGGGUUACAGCAUCUUCCAGAGGGCUCCCUUGUCCUGUCCGCAGCCUCCAGAUCCCUGCGUCCUGCCCCAGCCCCCGGAUGGCGGUGACAGCAGCCCUGUUCACCAGCAAACACUCCCCACUAUGUGCUGCCCUUCGGAGUAACUUGAUAACCUGCGCCGUCACUGCCGGGAUGGGUUAACCAUCGUGAACAAUAGUGAUUUGCCACAUUUUUCGUGUUACACUGCUGAGCUGCGGUCCUGGCUUGAGGAGGGGCUGGCAGAGCCGGGGGAACCCUGAGGGCUGAGUCAUUAACGGAGUGAUUAACAGUCCUCAGCCUGGUGGCACGAGAGACCCCAGCCGGGAGGGGGGGGGUGUGGCUUCCUGAGGUCUGAGGGUGGGGGCCCAGCUCCAAGCUGGCAAGGCAUCGGGCAGGGGACUCCCGGAAGCUGACCUGAGGUCAUGGGGCACCUCUGUCUGCCCUCCUCCCAAGCCGUGAGCCCAACUCCCCCAAAGGCAGAUAGGAUCCAGUGCUGUGCUUGGGGUAUUCGGAGAGCACUUUCUGAGGGUAUCUUCCCCAGACGUGUUCCAGGUUUUGCCCCCAAAGCUGCAGGCUGUGGAGAGAUGCUGGGAUGGGUCCUUCCUGGAUGGGCUGGCGUGUGGCUGGUCAACAUGGGACCCACCCUACUGCCCAAGCCCUUCUCCACCUUAGGCCACCUUGCUGUUCGGGAAACGCUUUACGGCCGCAUCUCCCGGCCCCCCUGCCCACUGGCUCCUGUGCUGACCGCCCAGUCUUGGUGGGCGUCCCCUCCCGGGUCCCCAGCCCACAGGGGGCUGGAGGAAAGAGUGCUCCUUGCCUGUCGCUUCAGGAGAGCCUGUUUCCUGCUGGUAGCCUGGGAGAUACAGCGGCAGGAAGCGAGAGGGACCUCGCCACGGCCCCCGAAGACAGCCGUGAGCCCAGACGCACACGGGCCAGAGGCGAGAGGUGCUCCCGAGUCCUUUCCCUGAAAACCUCUCAGACGCCGGCUCUGCUCAGCACCGCCCACGCCGUGCCGUUGGCAACAGCACCCAGCGCCCACACGGAAGCCGCACCAUCACCACGGCAACGCCCACUGGGCACCGAACGCAGUGCCGUGGACUGGCCGUGUAAUCUGUGGGGCCCGGUGCAAAACUCAAAACGUGGAAACGGUGCCGUUACAGGCACCAAAUGAGAGGGGUUUUUUUCCUUCCACAGCCUUCCUCCCUCCGUCCCUUUCUGCUCACAGAGGGUUUUCCACUCGGUAUUUGAUGCCGUUCUAACUAAAUAAAAAAUCGAAAUUAUAA